UUUCUGCAGCCUUUUAAUGUUGCUCCUUGCACAUGUCAGUUGCUUGUGGACACAACAAGGUUGCAAAAAUCAAUUCAAAGAAUGAAAAGGCGUUACUUCUGGAGGCUUAGAAGCAUCACGUGCGAUGUUCUUUGGAUAAAACCCCUGCUUACCACGGCGGUGAUGAGCUGUCUGUGCACAUUACCUUUCUUGAGGCAGGUAGAGCAAAAGGUUGGCCACCGGAUAUUGUCUCAAUUGGGUGAAGCGCUUCCCAUUGGACACGGCUGGCCGCCACAAAU